rnacentral:rRNA from 1 species
GAGUUUGAUCCUGGCUCAGGAUGAACGCUGGCGGCGUGCUUAACACAUGCAAGUCGAACGGAAAGGUCCAAGCUUGCUUGGGUACUCGAGUGGCGAACGGGUGAGUAACACGUGGGUGAUCUGCCCUGCACUUCGGGAUAAGCCUGGGAAACUGGGUCUAAUACUGGAUAGGACCACUUCUUGGAUGUUGUGGUGGAAAGUUUUUUCGGUGUGGGAUGAGCUCGCGGCCUAUCAGCUUGUUGGUGGGGUAAUGGCCUACCAAGGCGUCGACGGGUAGCCGGCCUGAGAGGGUGUACGGCCACAUUGGGACUGAGAUACGGCCCAGACUCCUACGGGAGGCAGCAGUGGGGAAUAUUGCACAAUGGGCGCAAGCCUGAUGCAGCGACGCCGCGUGGGGGAUGACGGCCUUCGGGUUGUAAACUCCUUUCGCUAGGGACGAAGCGUAAGUGACGGUACCUGGAGAAGAAGCACCGGCUAACUACGUG